rnacentral:rRNA from 1 species
AGAGUUUGAUCCUGGCUCAGAACGAACGCUGGCGGCGUGCUUAACACAUGCAAGUCGAGUGCGCGCCUGUAGCAAUACAGGUGGCGCACGGCGCACGGGUGCGUAACACGUGGGCAAUCUGCCCUCUGAUGGGGAAUAACCCGCCGAAAGGCGGGCUAAUACCGCAUAAAAUUCCUUGGACUUAUGUUCGAGGACUCAAAGGCGUAAGUCGUCGGAGGAGGAGCCCGCGCACGAUUAGCUAGUUGGUAGGGUAAUGGCCUACCAAGGCUUUGAUCGUUAGCUGGUCUGAGAGGAUGGCCAGCCACACUGGAACUGAGACACGGUCCAGACUCCUACGGGAGGCAGCAGUGGGGAAUCUUGCACAAUGGGCGAAAGCCUGAUGCAGCGACGCCGCGUGGGGGAUGAAGCAUUUCGGUGUGUAAACCCCUUUCGAUCCGGACGAAUGCCUCGCAAGAGGAGUGACGGUACGGAUAUAAGAAGCCCCGGCUAACUACGUGCCAGCAGCCGCGGUAAGACGUAGGGGGCCAGCGUCGUUCGGAAUUACUGGGUGUAAAGGGUUCGUAGGCGGUGUGGCAAGUUGGGUGUGAAAUCUCUGGGCUCAACCCAGAGACUGCUUCCAAAACUGCUGUGCUUGAGUGUGAGAGAGGCUCGUGGAAUUGCAGGUGUAGCGGUGAAAUGCGUAGAUAUCUGCAGGAACACCCGUGGCGAAAGCGGCGAGCUGGAUCACUACUGACGCUGAGGAACGAAAGCUAGGGGAGCAAACAGGAUUAGAUACCCCCGUAGUCC